GACAGAGGCCACGAACGUUGUUCGGAAUCACUGGGCAUAAAGCGCACGUAGGCGGCUGGGUCCGUCCGAUGUGAAAGCCCCCGGCUCAACCGGGGAAUUGCAUCGGAUACAGCCCGGCUUGAGGACGGUUGGGGUGAGUGGAACUCCUGGUGGAGCGGUGAAAUGCGUAGAUAUCGGGAGGAACACCGGUGGCGAAAGCGGCUCACUGGACCGUAACUGACGCUGAGGUG
rnacentral:rRNA from 1 species